rnacentral:rRNA from 1 species
AGAGUUUGAUCAUGGCUCAGGAUGAACGCUAGCUACAGGCUUAACACAUGCAAGUCGAGGGGAAACGACAUCGAAAGCUUGCUUUUGAUGGGCGUCGACCGGCGCACGGGUGAGUAACGCGUAUCCAACCUGCCCAUCACUUGGGGAUAACCUUGCGAAAGUAAGACUAAUACCCAAUGAUAUCUCUAGAAGGCAUCUGAAAGAGAUUAAAGAUUUAUCGGUGAUGGAUGGGGAUGCGUCUGAUUAGCUUGGUUGGCGGGUAACGCCACCAAAGCAACGAUCGAGUAGGGUUCUGAGACGGAAGGUCCCCCANAUUGGAACUGAGACACGGUCCAAACGUCCUACGGGAGGCA